rnacentral:rRNA from 1 species
AGAGUUUGAUCCUGGCUCAGGAUGAACGCUGGCGGCGUGCCUAAUACAUGCAAGUCGAGCGAACUGAUUAGAAGCUUGCUUCUAUGACGUUAGCGGCGGACGGGUGAGUAACACGUGGGCAACCUGCCUGUAAGACUGGGAUAACUUCGGGAAACCGAAGCUAAUACCGGAUAGGAUCUUCUCCUUCAUGGGAGAUGAUUGAAAGAUGGUUUCGGCUAUCACUUACAGAUGGGCCCGCGGUGCAUUAGCUAGUUGGUGAGGUAACGGCUCACCAAGGCAACGAUGCAUAGCCGACCUGAGAGGGUGAUCGGCCACACUGGGACUGAGACACGGCCCAGACUCCUACGGGAGGCAGCAGUAGGGAAUCUUCCGCAAUGGACGAAAGUCUGACGGAGCAACGCCGCGUGAGUGAUGAAGGCUUUCGGGUCGUAAAACUCUGUUGUUAGGGAAGAACAAGUACGAGAGUAACUGCUCGUACCUUGAUGGUACCUAACCAGAAAGCCACGGCUAACUACGUGCCAGCAGCCGCGGUAAUACGUAGGUGGCAAGCGUUAUCCGGAAUUAUUGGGCGUAAAGCGCGCGCAGGCGGUUUCUUAAGUCUGAUGUGAAAGCC